CCUACGGGAGGCAGCAGUGGGGAAUUUUGGACAAUGGGCGCAAGCCUGAUCCAGCAAUGCCGCGUGAGUGAAGAAGGCCUUCGGGUUGUAAAGCUCUUUUGUCAGGGAAGAAACGGUGAGGGCUAAUAUCCUUUGCUAAUGACGGUACCUGAAGAAUAAGCACCGGCUAACUACGUGCCAGCAGCCGCGGUAAUACGUAGGGUGCAAGCGUUAAUCGGAAUUACUGGGCGUAAAGCGUGCGCAGGCGGUUUUGUAAGUCUGUCGUGAAAUCCCCGGGCUCAACCUGGGAAUUGCGAUGGAGACUGCAAGGCUAGAAUCUGGCAGAGGGGGGUAGAAUUCCACGUGUAGCAGUGAAAUGCGUAGAGAUGUGGAGGAACACCGAUGGCGAAGGCAGCCCCCUGGGUCAAGAUUGACGCUCAUGCACGAAAGCGUGGGGAGCAAACAGGAUUAGAUACCCUGGUAGUCCACGCCCUAAACGAUGUCUACUAGUUGUCGGUUUUAAUUAACUUGGUAACGCAGCUAACGCGUGAAGUAGACCGCCGUCGGGAGGUACGGUACGGCGAAGUAAGUUAAACGUUAACUUAAAGUAGUUAAGUUAGUACGGCGUUGAGACGUUAGCCGACGGACGACGACGAGGGAGGAGG
rnacentral:rRNA from 1 species